UACGUAGGGUGCAAGCGUUAUCCGGAAUCAUUGGGUUUAAAGGGUCCGUAGGCGGUUUAAUAAGUCAGUGGUGAAAUCUGGUCGCUCAACGAUCAAACGGCCAUUGAUACUGUUAGACUUGAAUUACUGGGAAGUAACUAGAAUAUGUAGUGUAGCGGUGAAAUGCUUAGAUAUUACAUGGAAUACCAAUUGCGAAGGCAGGUUACUACCAGUGGAUUGACGCUGAUGGACGAAAGCGUGGGGAGCGAACAGG
rnacentral:rRNA from 1 species